UUCUGAUAACAGUUUCCAAAGAAGAAGAUAGAAAUAAUGUCCAAAAGGCUGAAAUGAGUCAAUUACUUUGGUAAAAUACAGUUGCAGAGUAAAAAUGUUGGUGUUUGUGGAGCUUACUUUCCAUGGAAGAGAGCAACAUGUGAGAUAGUUGCGGCCAAUGUAGCAAAACUCAACCCAUAAGUAAAAGCAAAGAAGGCACUGAGGUAGAGUUUGCUAUAACCAUCAUAGUUUGCUUGAUCUAUGUCGAAUGUCUUGGCAUUAAGUAUUCGAGAAAUAUUGUAGGUUUUACCAGUGAAGUCAAAAGUGUGAGCUGAAAUCAUGGGAAAUCGCUUAGCUUCAUAAAAAUUUGACCAGUAGACAAUGGGGUUUAUUACAUAGACGACCAUGAAAAACCCAAUUAAGAUAUUGACGAUGGCAAAACCAGGUGUAGCCAGAGGGCUUCCCAGAAAGCCAGCAACAGUUGACCAGUCAAUCCCAAAUGAGCCAAUGCCAAGGCCACGAAGGCCAGAACCAAUCUGCUGGGCAGUAAUGGAGUUUCUCCAUAUCAAACAAACAAAUGAGAUGCAGGAU
rnacentral:lncRNA from 1 species